rnacentral:ncRNA from 1 species
GGACCAGGCGAUUUUGAUUGUCUAAUCAAAACAAAGCAUUGCGAUAGCCAGUGAUUGGUGUUAACGCCAUGUAAUUUCUGCCCAGUGCUCUGAAUGUCAAAGCGAAGAAAGUCAUCCACUCGUGGGAGUAACCGGGACACCCUGUAAGAAAAGAUUUUUGAUAACUCC